rnacentral:rRNA from 1 species
GACGAACGCUGGCGGCGUGCCUAAUACAUGCAAGUCGAACGAGAGCGACCGGUGCUUGCACUGGUCAAUCUAGUGGCGAACGGGUGAGCAACACGUGGGUAACCUGCCCAUCAGAGGGGGAUAACAUCCGGAAACGGAUGCUAAAACCGCAUAGGUCUUCGAACCGCAUGGUUUGAAGAGGAAAAGAGGCGCAAGCUUCUGCUGAUGGAUGGACCCGCGGUGCAUUAGCUAGUUGGUGAGGUAACGGCUCACCAAGGCCGUGAUGCAUAGCCGACCUGAGAGGGUGAUCGGCCACAUUGGGACUGAGACACGGCCCAAACUCCUACGGGAGGCAGCAGUAGGGAAUCUUCCGCAAUGGACGCAAGUCUGACGGAGCAACGCCGCGUGAGUGAAGAAGGUUUUCGGAUCGUAAAACUCUGUUGUUAGAGAAGAACAAGUGCUAGAGUAACUGUUAGCGCCUUGACGGUAUCUAACCAGAAAGCCACGGCUAACUACGUG